UUCGGUAGCGUGUGCGACGACAAGUGAAUUCGAGCGGCACUGCCGCGGAGGAAGCCGGUGCGAGUCCGGCGCGGUCCCGCCACUGUCACCGGGUGAGCUGCCCGGGAGCCAGGAACUCCGGUCGCCGUGAUUCUUACUAC
rnacentral:ncRNA from 2 species